CACUGUUCAUAAUACAUAAAUUAUUAGGGGUAAGAUUAAACACGCUGAUGUGAAAAUGGUGGAAGGUAUUCUAAUCUGGAAUCAUCUUAGAUUCCACCGGAGAUGGUAAAUUUGAAAGCCAUAGGAUCAUAUGUAACAGAGGUCUCAGCAAAACUGAGUUAGAUUAAGCUAAACGAAAAUUUGUUAUAUGAAAUUAGGAAGCUCACCAGUUUCCCUGGACGACUAGAGUCAGACGGAGAGCUCCCAGACUGCACUCAGAGGGCUGCCUGCGGAAAGGUUAGACAUUUUCUCCUGAAGAAUCCUUGCCACCAGCAGUUUCGUCGCUCAGCUCAUUGGCCGUAAAGCAGUUUUGCCGUAAAAGAUAAAAUAACUGAUUGACGGUUUGGUUUCAAUUGGUUAACAGUUUGAUUUUAUUUCUCUAUUGAUACAUUACUAUUUUUAUGAUAUAUGUAUAUUUCAGGCCUCAUAAUGACCUAAACAGUGAGGCGUAAGCUUGGUGGUAUUAAAAGAGUGGAUGGUAACAACCUCAUUUAUCGACCUGAUAGAAAAUAUGGUGAUAAGAAAACUUACUGGAAGUGUGAAAUAAGCAUGUAAAGCCAGACUGCAUACUACACUAGAAAAUAGCACAUCAGUUUGUAAAUCUUUUCAGUGAGCAUCGUCAUCCCUAUCAGUCCUCAAAAAGCAAAGUUUGCCAAGCUAUGGAGAAUAUAAAAGAGGGAGCCUCGGGUUCACAGCAGUCUUUGGGAGCAUUAAUGACAGAUUCUUUAGCUAAUUUGGGUAAUAGCUGUUGUUCUCUCAUGCCCUCUUUUCCAAAUUUAUUUUAGAAGCUAGAGGCAAAAGAAGAAUCAACCCUUCCUAUCCCUCCAAAAGAUGCAGUUGUGUCGUUCCUGAUGAGUACAGCUUUCUCGAAAAUGAAAGUGCAAUGGAAGGUUUGACUGAACAUUUAUUUGGGCAGCAGGCAGAAUAUUCCACCUUCUGCUCUUGGAUACCGGUUGUCUCCAGCCUUCACCCUACACAUGCAACCACACUGGACAGUCCCAUGACCAUGUCUGUCCAGCUCAGAGCCAAGACACAGAGCUGGGGUCUCCACUGGUGCCCAAGGCCUGCCCAGAGACUACUAGAACCCAAUGUCACAGGAGGCACACCCAGAUUCUUGUACUCAUGUUACCUAAACCUGAAACCCUCAAAGUACUUAAAGAGAUGUCAGCAAAAGAGCUAUUUGUGGUUUUCACUUGCUUUUAUUUAAGUCAACUUUACCAUACAGCUCAGACUGGAGUUGCUGAGGAUCUGGUACACUCACAGUGUUCAAAAUCAUCGCUGUUCUUGGCAUGAACCAGGUAUAUCUUAGUUUCAUUUUUUCUUAGGACAAUUUCUUUCCCAAGGAUCUCAUUGGUCACUAAUGCAAAUAGACAGCUGAGGAGCCUGAGCUUUCAGUCUCCAGGCAGGCCUGAUUGCUAAGGGCAGCACAGCUUUGGAUCCAGCUUGACCCUUAUUAAUAAUGAUCUUGCCUGCCUUCCAAGGCCAUAUGGUCUAGAUGUGAUAGGCACAUAGCCUGACUGAUUAUUUCAACUCUCUGUGCUAAGUGAUACAGUAAAAGAACAUCAUAAGAGUCAUUUAACUAAAUGUAGAGAAUCCCAAUGGACUUCCUCAGAGACAGGAAGCCUUGUUUGAUGCCUGAAGCAUGAACACAUUAUACUUCAUUCCAUUUUCAGCAAUGCCAAAUUCUCCUUCCCAAUCAAGAUGAAUUAGAGAAAUGUAAGAAACGAAAAUACAGCCCCAGAGUCUCAGGGGCUCCAGUUUCUGGAAAUGGGUGGUAAUAGCCAUGUAAAGGCCUGGGAAAGAUGGAUAAAGUCAUUUCAGGACAAACUCCUAGUAGCUGUUGUGCACACAAUUACUUCAGACCUUUAGCUGAAUAAUUCAUGCCUAUCUUGAAGUUUAGAGCUCCUCUCUGGACCACUGGCACACUGCACUGAGAAGGAUGUUCAUGAGACAUGUGGAGUUUGGUCAGCAUGACCUUCAUGGGUGAAGAGUAAGGGGGAACACCAGGAAUGCCACAUAUUUUCUCCCCCUGCCUAAUUUCUGGAUAAAUUUCAAGUCAUAUAUUUUCUAUGAGAUCCAUCAACCAAAUUUUGUAUCUAAUAUUUCCCUAAGACUUGCUUCAAGAGUUGAUUCGACAGUUAGCAAUGAAGGCAAAACCUAAGCAGUUUUAUUUGGGAAACUUGGGAAUCCUUUACAUUUGUAUAAACCCUAAAAGAAAUAUCUAAUCUAAAGAAGACAGCUGCUAGUAUUUUGAUGGAGCUGAUCUUUACUUCCAAGGUGAGCCAGUUAAAAACAAUCUCAACUGUGACCCAUGGAAAUGUGGCUAAUCUUAUUUUUAAUAUAAAACUAUGGAUUGCUUUCAUAUUUUUCCAUGAACAAUUCUAAAGUGAAUCCUCUCAAACAUUUUGUCUUCUGGGAGGAUUUAACUGAGUUUUGGUUCCAUCCACGAAGGAUUGAGGGGGAAGAUUUGAGUGUGGAAUAAAGGCUUGGUCUCAGACA
ensembl:lncRNA